AGCAGCCGCGGUAAUUCCAGCUCCAAUAGCGUAUAUUAAAGUUGUUGCAGUUAAAAAGCUCGUAGUUGAAUUUCGGGAUCAAUUUAUUGGUCGUGCUAUUGUACGUACUGGUAUUAUUGAUUCCUACCUUCUGACGAACCAUGAUGUCAUUAAUUUGGUGUCAUGGGGAAUCAGGACUGUUACUUUGAAAAAUUAGAGUGUUUAAAGCAGGCUCACGCUUGAAUACAUUAGCAUGGAAUAACGAAAUAGGACGUUUGAUUCUAUUUUGUUGGUUUCUAGGAUCGACGUAAUGAUUAAUAGGGAUAGUUGGGGGCAUUAGUAUUCAAUUGUCAGAGGUGAAAUUCUUGGAUUUUAUUGAAGACUAACUACUGCGAAAGCAUUUGCCAAGGAUGUUUUCAUUAAUCAAGAACGAGAGUUAGGGGAUCGAAGACGAUCAGAUACCGUCGUAGUCUUAACCAUAAAACUNUGCCGACUAGGGAUCGGAUGAUGUUAA
rnacentral:rRNA from 1 species